CGUCCUUGAACUUUGAGCGAGAUCUGAUUUUCGUCCCUCGCCGAAAAAUCUUCCUAUGGACGUCCUCAAACUGACAUUUUUGUUUGGAAACCGUCCUUGCCGCCGAUUUAGCUCCGGCCGCCGUAGCCAAGUGUCACGUUUGGCCUAUGUGGACAUGCCACAUCAUUUAAUGAAAUGACAUGUAAUUUUUUAAAAAAUAAAAUAAAAAUAAUUUAAUUUUAACUAAGUCCCCCAAAUCUAAACUAAUUUAAUUUCUAACCCCAAAACUAAUAAGACUUAAUUAAUAACACUUUUGGUCCAUUUUCUUCAAUCUUCAACCUCAUUUUCCAUAAUCUUCUUCACCUUCUUCAAUCUUCAUCAUCUUCUUCUUCCCCCACCCACCACACUCAUCACCACACCCACCACCGCCUCCAACCUCAACAACACCACACUAAAAUAUUAAGCCAUUUACUUUGAGCGAGAAUCAAAGUUUCUUUAGCAAAUACAACAAUCAGAUCAAUGAUACCUUCUAAAGCACUAGACUAAUUACUGCUAGUACAAUUCCUUGGUUCAAUCACCACGAUCUGUCGGAUUUCCAUGAUUACCAACUUGGAUUAAAAUUGACAUAAACACCCAGUACCGGUUGGUUUUCCACGAUCUGUUAAAGCAUAAACCACUGCUCCAACUUCAUCUUCCCCCACCCACCACCUCGCCUCCAACCUCAACACCACAGCCACCCCCCAAACCCAGAAACUCACAGCCCAGCCCCACAGCCACAGCCUUCAACCUCAGCCACAGCCCCCAACCUCAUUUUCAACACCGACAACCACCGCCCCCAACCUCGCCCACCACCAGCCACCACCACGGUCACCAACCCAGAAACCCAUACCCACCACUACGACACCCACCACCAGAGCAGAAACCGACCACCCUUGCUCCCACCACCCUCACCCCCAUUGAACAACCCCCACCACCUAGAAACCCAAACCCAGCCCCACAGAUCUGUCAAGAAAAUCUAAAAAAAAAAAAGAGAAGAAGGUGAAACAAAUCAAAAUUAUGAAGCUUUCAACCCAAUUGAUGAAGGGCUCUGAAUUUGGUGAUGAUUGAUUUAGAAUAAACAUGGUGGGUGUAGGAGGAUGCAAGCAUAUUUCACCCAUUCGGUGGCGCCGUUGAUAUUGUGGUGGGUAUGGGUUAUUCUUGUUAUUCUUGGGUGAUGUAGUGUUGUUAGGAGUAAGGGAUGAGAGUAAGGGAUGGUGGGGGUUGGACGAAGAAGAAGAAGAAAAUGAUAGAAGAUGGUUGAAGAUGAAUAAAUUGGAAGAUGGUUGAAGAUGAAGGAUUAGAGUUGGAGAAUUGAGAUUGUAGACUUUCUUUCUCUCUCAGACUUCUCAAUAUCAAUAGAAAAUUAGGGUUUUGAUAUGAUUUAAUUAGGAGUAGAAGUUAGGUUAGUGUUAGUUUUAAUUAAGGUUUAGAAAUUAAAUUAGGAAAGAUUUGGGGGGUUUAUUAUAAAUUAAUUAUGUUAUUUAUUUAUUUAUUUUUAAAAAAAAUUCCACAUCAGCUCCAAACGGACACUUGGCCACGGCUGCUGGAGCUAUAUCGGCGGCAAGGACGAUUUUCGUACAAACAAUUGAGUUUGAGGAUGGCGCUAGGAAGAUUUUCCGGCGAGGAACGGAAAUCAGAUCUCGCUCAAAGUUCAGGGACGGAGAACACAUUUAACCCUUCUUAAUAAUUGUCAAAGGGUUUAAGCACAACUCUUUUAGAGCUUAAGCACAUCCUAACACAUAAAACACUCACGCACUCACACACGAUUCGCUCUUUUCACUCUUGCGCACUAUCGUAUUCUCUUAUACGGUUCACACACUCAAUUUUCUCUCGCGGUCAAUCACACACCUUCUCUCAUAAUCAUGUUCUGCUUCCCUCAUCCCCUGUUCUCACCUGCAACAGUAAUGACAUCUUCUCAAGUAAGUUCUCUAUUUCCAUUCUCAAUUUAAUUUUGAAACAUAGGGUUCUAAAUUUGAGAUUUAUGGUUAUGACCAUGAGAAGACAAUAUGUUUUGAAAGGUUUUAUUCUUCUCUUUGAAUUAGAAUUGGAUUUUGCUGUGACUCAUGUUUCAUGAACUAAAAUGAUUCUAAUUUGAUCAUAUGCUUCAUGUGUUGAAAAUAUGCACCCUAGGUGUUUGUUAAAAUGUUUUCAAAGAUGUGAUAAUGAAUAUUUGCAUGUGAUCUAAAAAAAUUGAUCAUGAGGAAGUUGUGCUCAAUUUGAUGCUCUACUGUCUAAGAAAGAGGAUUGUGAGAAAUGAUAUUAAUUAGUCCAUGGGCUCUUGAAAGGUGUUUCAUGAAGUGAACAAAUUUUCCUUAUCUCACUCUAACUGUUUGUAAAAAUGGUUGAAUGAUGAUGAGUGGACAUUUUAAUGGUUCAAUGAGAUUGUUUGGAAAUUGAGAAUUGCACUAAGAAUUUGAUUGUAGAUUGGUUCCCAUGAAGAGAGGAUUAAAUGUUAGGUUUCAUAUCUCAUGCUCUUGGCCUGCGGACAAGCUAACUUUGGAGGAGGAAGAGGGAAGACAGAGGCUGAGAAGGAAAGAGCAGAGAAACACAUGGUGGAACUGAUGCAAGAUGAUUCUAAGGAGAUUGGGGACUGAUGAAACCACCAAACACCUCAUAACAGAUAUAAAGAUCAAAGGGAUCGAAGCAAAGGAAGAUCAUAGCCCAAAUUGAAGAUUUUAGCUUAAGCCAAGAAAUUAUGGCUUAAGAUAAAGAAGAGCUAAAGAAGAGACAGUGGAGUUGGCUUAAGCCCAAAAGUUCAUGAGAUGGCUUAAGCCCAAAAGUUCAUGAGAUCGAAAAAGAGAAGUGAUGAUUGAGAUUUUGGCUUAAGCCAUAUUUGUUUGUGUUUAAGCCAAAAUAGUUACCUAGCCUUGAAGAAACCUUUUGGCUUAAGCCAGAAGUGGUUGAGUUUAAGCAUAAAAGUUGCAGAAUCGUAUUAUAAAAGCCACGUUCAGAUCUAUCUAAUAUAUUCAGAAGAGAAAAUAGAUCACUUUUAGAGAAAGAAACAAGGGAGAAAACUUAGGAGGCUGGAGAGGAAGCUUGGGUGCCGGAUUCAACGACGAGACAUAUCUUAGUCUUCAGUUCUUCUUCAUGAUCUUAAAGCUAUCCAUGGAAAUGGAUAACUAAUCUCUUUGUUGGGGUUAGAUGUAGUUAUUUUGAUACUUAUGUAUUAUAUGUAAUUCUCUUCAAUAUAAAGCAAGCACUUUGUCUAUGAUUUAGUGGUUUUCUUUUGAUC